UACGUAGGGUGCUAGCGUUGUUCGGAAUCAUUGGGCGUAAAGCGCGUGCAGGUGGCAAAUUAAGUUGGAUGUGAAAUCCCUAGGCUCAACCAAGGAAGUGCAUUCAAAACUGAUUAGCUUGAAGAUGGUAGAGGAAGGUGGAAUUCCAGGUGGAGAGGUGAAAUUCGUAGAUAUCUGGAGGAAUAUCGGAGGCGAAGGCGACCUUCUGGGCCAUUCUUGACACUGAGACGCGAAAGCGUGGGUAGCAAACGGG
rnacentral:rRNA from 1 species